AAGCAGGGGAUCGCAAGACCUUGCGCUUUUGGAGUGGCCGAUGCCUGAUUAGCUAGUUGGUAGGGUAAUGGCCUACCAAGGCAACGAUCAGUAGUUGGUCUGAGAGGACGACCAGCCACACUGGGACUGAGACACGGCCCAGACUCCUACGGGAGGCAGCAGUGGGGAAUUUUGGACAAUGGGCGAAAGCCUGAUCCAGCAAUGCCGCGUGAGUGAAGAAGGCCUUCGGGUUGUAAAGCUCUUUCAGUCGGGAAGAAAAGGUUGUGACUAAUAAUCACAAUUCAUGACGGUACCGACAGAAGAAGCACCGGCUAACUACGUGCCAGCAGCCGCGGUAAUACGUAGGGUGCGAGCGUUAAUCGGAAUUACUGGGCGUAAAGGGUGCGCAGGCGGCUCUGUAAGUCAGAUGUGAAAUCCCCGGGCUUAACCUGGGAAUUGCGUUUGAAACUACAAGACUAGAGU
rnacentral:rRNA from 1 species